GAAUGACCUUUACACCAUAGAAUCAAUACCUUAGUAUAAACAAUACAAAAACUGUUUAGUCAUCAUUAAUGAAACAUAAAAGUAGACAUGAAGAAUUGGGUUGAAGUAGACGUUUGUCCAUUUGCAGCAGUGAUGAUGUGUAUUUGUCUUUUUUAGGUCCGUAUCCACAGCUUCAGAUGAUUUUUAAGCAGUUGAAAAUGGAAGGUUUCUUGGUAGGCAGGUGGGAACAUAAAAAUGAAGAGUCACUGAAGCAAAUGUUGACCUGGAUGCAAGAGGGAAAGCUGAAGUGUAAAGAACAUGUUACUGUUGGCUUUGAAAACAUGCCUGCUGCAUUCAUGGGGAUGCUGCGGGGAGAAAAUAUCGGAAAAGCCAUUGUUAAAGUCUAAUGGCAAGUGUUUCAGUGGUUUGUUCAUGAAGCAACAGUCUUGCCCUUUUUGUUAUGGAUACUGCAUUAAUAAUCGUAUGUUUUCAUGUUGUGUCCUUUAUUUUGUUUUACAAAUAAUAAGUCUGUUUUUGUACAUUGAGUGUCACAUUUGCAACAUUCUCUAGGACAGAUAUGCACAAAACAGGAAUAAAAUUAUACUUUUUUU